CAGCCGCCGCGGGAAUACCAGCACCUCGAGUGGUCAGGAGGUUUAUUGGGCCUAAAGCAUCCGUAGCCGGUUGCAUAAGUUUUCGGUUAAAUCUAUGCGCUUAACGUAUAGGCCGCCGAAAAUACUGUGCAGCUAGGGGGUGGGAGAGGUACACGGUACUCGAUAGGAAGGGGUAAAAUCCUUUGAUCUAUUGAUGACCACCUGUGGCGAAGGCGGUGUACCAGAACACGUUCGACGGUGAGGGAUGAAAGCUGGGGGAGCAAACCGGAUUAGAUACCCGCGUAGUCCCUGUCUCUUAUAC
rnacentral:rRNA from 1 species